GAUCGAAAGAGGAAAUUCAUUCGCGUUUCGAUGAUCGAAGUCUGGCGUGUUUAUGACAGAUUGUAUAUAUUUAUUUAUGUAUUUGUCCGCAUAUCACGUUUAACUUUAUCGAUUUCGAACGCGUGCACUUUUCCUCCAGUAGGACGUCGCGAUCCGUUGGGUGUCUGUCUAAGAAUUAAGGUGGAGACCAUGUUGCUUUUUAGUUGCGUGGACCCUUAAAUUUCCGACAGACUCGCUCGACGGUAUCAAAAUGGCGCAAGGCCGCUACAUAUUAAAAAUUAGCGUUCGGCCCGUAGCAAGCACGUUUCGUGUUUGACGGCAAUUCGGACCUGGUGCCGAUUCCGUUCCGGAACGACUGUUGGUUAUGGUGUUCUCGAACAGACCUUGU
rnacentral:rRNA from 1 species